rnacentral:lncRNA from 1 species
UUGAGUCUAAGUCCGUCCUAAUUCACUUCCUUCUUCAAUUCUCGUUGAAACCCUGCAAAACAAUGUAAAAACAAGUAUAAUAUCUCUAAAACCAACUUUUGACUCUCUCGUGACUGAACUAAGUGUUUUAUUUGAUUUUGAGCUCAUUCUAAGCCACAAAGGGUGUGUUUUGAUAUCAUAUUUAAGCAUGAAAAUAACAAUUUCUAGACCAUUAUCAACUUCACAGGUUGUCAAGCCUUCAAUCAACA